AGAGUUUGAUUAUGGCUCAGGACGAACGCUGGCGGCGUGCUUAACACAUGCAAGUCGAGCGGGGACAUGAGGGAAUAAGCUUCGGCAGAAAGAAUCAUGUUCUAGCGGCGGACGGGUGAGUAACGCGUGAGCAAUCUGUCCCAGACAGGGGGAUAACACUUGGAAACAGGUGCUAAUACCGCAUAAGACCACGAGGCGGCAUCGUCUUGGGGUAAAAGGAGCGAUUCGGUUUGGGGUGAGCUCGCGUCCGAUUAGCUGGUUGGUGAGGUAACGGCCCACCAAGGCGACGAUCGGUAGCCGACCUGAGAGGGUGAUCGGCCACAUUGGAACUGAGAGACGGUCCAGACUCC
rnacentral:rRNA from 1 species